rnacentral:rRNA from 1 species
UACGUAGGGUGCGAGCGUUAAUCGGAAUUACUGGGCGUAAAGCGUGCGCAGGCGGUUCGUUAAGUUCGUUGUGAAAGCCCCGGGCUCAACCUGGGAACUGCAAUGGAAACUGGCGGUCUUGAAUACGGCAGAGGGGGGUGGAAUUCCGCGUGUAGCAGUGAAAUGCGUAGAGAUGCGGAGGAACACCGAUGGCGAAGGCAGCCCCCUGGGCCGACAUUGACGCUCAGGCACGAAAGCGUGGGGAGCAAACAGG